UUAGUCUAUUUAAAGCUACUAUUAUUUUUCUGUCCCCAUACCGCUAUGCAUUUGUAUCAAAUACUCUGCAAUUUAUUUCUUUGUGUAGUUGCUUUGAAUAUAUGUGAUUGAUGUCUAACCUAUUAUCUGUAAAGGGUUAUUGGUAUCCUCAAUUAGUAUUUUUCAAUUUCAGAGUUUUAUGGUUUGAGCGUUUCAUACUGUAUCCAUGUGCUAAUGGUUGCUAGAGGUGGUUCACAUUUUUUCUUGUUGCUGGAGUGGAUUCUCUAGUCUCUUGCAAGAUUAAAUGCCGUUUGUAUUUAAUCAAAUUUUAGAUAUUAUGUGGACUCAUGAUACUUUUGUGAUUCUGACAGUAAACAAAAACAUGCUGUUAUUUCCAGAAGAUGGAUUACCUUCAAUUUAAAAUUGCAUAACAUUUCCAGGGAAAGGAGUUCUUACAUUUGUGUGCAAUGGGAAUCUGCAAGUACUCAACUCUCCAGCAUUCUUAAAUAUCAUAUGCAUAAAUGGAAUUUAAGAUUGUGAGUAUUUAUUCCUGCUAUCAUUUGCAGUGCUUCCACAAAAGGUCUUUCUACUUUUCUUAUUCGACUAUCUGGCUAAAAAUGUCCAUUACUAUGGCUUUGGUCGAGUUUUAUAUGAUCAGCAUCAUGCAGAAGUGUCACUGCUUGUCAUGCAAUACACUCUUUUACUAAAAAAGAUUCUAAUUUUACAUUUUCCAGUCCAAAAUAUUUACAAAUUGGUGUUUUUUACUUUCCAAAGUGUCAUAUCUGUUAUUAUAUAUGUUCUCUUUGUCAUCGUCUUGUCAUACAAUGUAUUGGUUUUGUAAGAAAGAUUGUGUUAUUAGCAUACUCUAAUUUUCAUUGUAGGUAGCUCACAUUUAUUGAUCAAAGAGUUAAGUUUCUCUUCUCUUUGCUUAAAUGAACGCAGUUGUACUAGCUUAUUAUUUCAUUUAAACCAUUUAAGAAAUGAAUUAUUUGACAUGAUAUUCAGCAUCCAUAUUAACACGGUCCAUUUCUUCUUGUAUGGUUAGCAUGUUUGAGCACUUCUAGACCAGCUCCUUGUUCAACACAUGAGUACUGGAAGAUGGGCUGUCCGCUUCUCUCACAGCUAUUCAAUCAUCUCUGGUCUAGCUAUCAAAGUCAGCAGUGUUUUAAGUUUCCUUCUUUAAUUAUAUCUGGAACAGGAUGUUUAAAUUGCACUGGAGCAUGAUUGGUCUUUCCAUCCAUAAUGAGGAAGAUUUGAGCAUGAGCAAUGCACAUUGUGUCUCAUAUCAACCAUAAAGGCAAGGAAAAUGGAUGAGUUGAGGCAGAAGGUAAAGGAUUUGAGGGCGUCUUUUCCAUGCAAUGCAUUGCAAAAGCAAGAGCUCAACAAGAAUGAAAGCUAUUCGUCUCCUUGCCUCCCAAGUGCAGACACAAUGCUAAAUGUGUGGAAAUUGUGCACCAUGAUCCGAUUAUGAUCUGGUCUGGACAUUUUUGCUUCUGAUUUUUAGGUACUCAAUAUUUGUCUGUUGAAAAGGAAAUGAUAAUUUGGGAAUCACAAGACCGUAAUCGUUAUCGUUAAAGGGGGUGGGGGGUGGUCAAAAUAAGUUUUCCCUAUGUAGACUAUAGAUUUGCAAUUGCAAUAUUGGAGAUUACAAAUUUAAAAGUCAACAUAAUCAGUUGUGUUUGUGAUGGAUUAACUUUAUUAUUUUCUUAAUUUAUCAAAUUAAAUCGGAUUAAUGAUUUAUUUUA